ACAUCCAUGUCUCUGUUGCACUGGAGAGCCCAGAACUGGGCCCAGUACUCUAAAUGUGGCCUCACCAAAGCAGAAGAGAGGGGAAGGAUCA
rnacentral:miRNA from 12 species